rnacentral:rRNA from 1 species
AGUUAAGGCCCCAAAAUGACAGCUAAGUGGCAAAGGAGGUGAAAGUGCAGAAACAACCAGGAGGUUUGCCCAGAAGCAGCCAUCCUUUAAAGAGUGCGUAAUAGCUCACUGGUAAAGCGCUCUUGCGCCGAAAAUGUAUGGGACUAAGUUGUCUGCCGAAGCUGUGGGAUAUUGUCAAACAACAAUAUCGGUAGGGGAGCGUUCCGCUGUAGGUUGAAGCAUACUUGUAAGGUGAUGUGGACGAGGCGGAAGUGAGAAUGUCGGCUUGAGUAACGCAAACAUUGGUGAGAAUCCAAUGCCCCGAAAACCUAAGGGUUCCUUCACUAGGUUCGUCCAUGGAGGGUUAGUCAGUCCCUAAGGCUAGGCCGAAAGGCGUCGUCGAUGGAAAACAGGUCAAUAUUCCUGUACUAAAUGUUGUUAAGAACCGAGGGACGAAGAAAGCUUCCAUACGCCAUGAUUGGAGUUGGCGAGAAACGAACAAGGUGAUGAAAUGUAGAAGAAAAACUAGAUUUUAGCUAAGUCGUCGUAUGUGCUUAUUCUUAUAGCAGCUUAAGCUGUUAUGAGGUAAGUAUUAUGUGUAAAGUUAUGCUUCCAAGAAAAGCUCGAACUUCAUAAAACAACAUAUUAUCUGUACCCGAAUCCGACACAGGUAGGUAGGUAGAGUAUACAGAGGGGCGCGAGAUAACUCUCUCUAAGGAACUCGGC